rnacentral:rRNA from 1 species
GAACGGGGUAGUGGAUGGGCAACGGGUUAAUAUUCCCGUACCUGCUCACACUAAAAGUGACGGAUCUCUGGAGUUGCUGCGUACUGACGGAAUAGUACGUUGAAGCAGUAAUGCGAUAGUACACUAAGGCUACGGCCGCGGUGAUAAUGUAGCGAAGGAGGUUCCAAGAAAAGCGAGUGAAGCAGCCUGUACCGUAAACCGACACAGGUGGUUGGGAUGAGAAUUCGAAGGUGCUCG